UGUAUUAUUUUUGGAAAACUUGUUAAAAGUUAUAAAUGUUUUAUAGCAUAUGAAGAAGUUAACAUUUAAUGUGGACAUUAUACAGUAAAGGGGGCAAGGCAGUAAAUACUGAAAUUUUAUUUCUUCAAAAGUAAACAAAACAACAAAACAAUUAAGGUAAUCAUGGAUAAUAUGUGACAGUACCAUCGGAAUUGUGUUCGGUGCGAUUUAUUAACCAUAUGUUUGAGAUAAAUCGGUACUUCAUAAAAUGGAUGUAAAUAUGUCGAUGCAAAAAAUAUGCUAAUAAUGUAGAACGAUAUCCACAAAAAGUAAUGAUAAGUGUUCUCUUAAUGAUUUCACCCUUGAACAGUAUAGAAAAAGAAUAGUUCUCUCCGAUAAUUGGAAAGCGCUACACGUGGUAGCAAAAGAAUAUAAGUACAAUACUGGGUAGUGUUUACAAAGAGCCGCAACAGCUAAGCUACCGAAUGCGAUAGGAAUGCUAGAUUUUCUCUGAUAUGAGCUCAUUAUGAACAAGGCCCAAUUAACAGCAGAGAAUAUAUAACCAGUUCUCUGCUGGUAUAAAAAAUAAAUUUUGAGACGCUCUCAUACCAGAACAAGUUCGAUAUUCCUUUAUCACUGACUGGCAGUAUGACUAUAAGCUCCCUUGGUGAACAAUCUUUUCGCGGAUUAAAUCGUGAAUAUAUAAGUAUAAAAAUUACGUAUCAGUUCCCUAAUUUUUGGGGAAAAAAGUGAUUUUAAACAGAUUUCCU